rnacentral:rRNA from 1 species
AGAGUUUGAUCAUGGCUCAGGAUGAACGCUAGCUACAGGCUUAACACAUGCAAGUCGAGGGGCAGCAUGUUGGUUGCUUGCAACCAAUGAUGGCGACCGGCGCACGGGUGAGUAACGCGUAUCCAACCUACCCUUGUCCAUCGGAUAACCCGUCGAAAGGCGGCCUAACACGAUAUGCGGUUCACAGCAGGCAUCUAAGGUGAACGAAAUGUGAAGGAGAAGGAUGGGGAUGCGUCUGAUUAGCUUGGUUGGCGGGGGUAACGGCCCACCAAGGGCUACGAUCAGUAGGGGUUCUGAGAGGAAGGUCCCCCACNUUGGACUGAGACACGGUCCAAACUCCGUACGGGAGGCA